rnacentral:tRNA from 1 species
UAUUAGAAAGCGAAGGAUUGCGUUUAGUUUCGACCUAAAUUUUGAAGUUAUCUUCUCUAAUUU